rnacentral:lncRNA from 1 species
UCCCAGCUCGCGCCGCCCGAUCCCAGAGGUCGUCGUCUCUUUCUCCUCAGCUCCACCCACGCCAAGCGCGCGCGCCGGACGCAUCCGCACCAGCAGCAGAGCAGAGAUGGCCGCCCUCGCCGCCUCCUCCACGGCCGCCUUCGCCGCCAAGCCGCGCCUGCCCCGCGCGCGCCUCUCCGUGGCCUGCUCCGCCACCGGCGGCGACGGCAGCAACGGCAGCAGCGUCUCGCUCGCCUCCUCCGUCAAGACCUUCUCCGCCGCGCUGGCGCUGUCCUCCGUCCUCCUCUCCUCCGCCGCCACCUCCCCUCCGCCGGCCGCCGCCGACAUCGCCGGCCUCACCCCGUGCAAGGAGUCCAAGGCGUUCGCCAAGCGCGAGAAGAACUCGAUCAAGAAGCUCACCACCUCGCUCAAUAAGUACGCCCCCGACAGCGCCCCCGCCCUCGCCAUCAACGCCACCAUCGAGAAGACCAAGCGCCGCUUCGAGAACUACGGC